rnacentral:rRNA from 1 species
CACCGCGGUUAUACGAGAGGCCCAAGCUGAUAGUCACCGGCGUAAAGAGUGGUUAAUACUUAUUAAACUAAAGCCGAACAUUUUCAAGGGUGUAGUACCCAUUUGAAAUCAAGAAGCCCAACCACGAAGGUGGCUUUACAUAAUUGAACCCACGAAAGCUAGGGAA